rnacentral:rRNA from 1 species
UACGAAGGGAACUAGCGUUGUUCGGAAUCACUGGGCGUAAAGCGGGCGCAGGCGGACUAUCCAGUCAGGGGUGAAAGCCCAAGGCUUAACCUUGGAAUUGCCUUUGAAACUGAUAGUCUGGAGUGUGUGAGGGGGUAGCGGAAUUCCGAAUGUAGAGGUGAAAUUCGUAGAUAUUCGGAGGAACACCGGUGGCGAAGGCGGCUACCUGGCACACAACUGACGCUGAGGCCCGAAAGCGUGGGGAUCGAAACAGG